rnacentral:rRNA from 1 species
AGCCUACCCCACCCACUCUUCUCAAUAAAAACUAAAAUAUUCUCCCAACCUAGUAAAGAAGAUUAAAAAACUCUUAAGAGCUAUAAUUUGUACCGCAAGGGAAAGAUGAAAUAAUAAUGAAAUAUUUUAAGCACAAAAAAGUAGAGACCCACCCUCGUACCUUUUGCAUCAUGGUUUAGCUAGUCUAAUUGGGCAAAAAGACUUUUAGUCCAACCUCCCGAAUCUAAGUGAGCUAAUUUAGGGCCGCUUAAUGAGCCCACCCGUCUAUGUUGCAGAAUAGUGGGAAGACCCUAAAGUAGAAGUGACAGACCUAACGAACUUAGUGAUAGCUGGUUCCUCAAGAAAAGAAUUUUWGUUCAUAAAAUGGCACUAACAUAUUCAAUUGCCCUCCCCAUUUUAAAGUAAUUCAAAUGAGGUACAGCCCAUUUGAUCCAGGACUCAGCCUUUACUGACGGGUAAUACCACCCCCCUUUCCCCCCCCCCGUAGGCCUAAUAGCAGCCAUCUUCUAAAAAGCGUCAAAGCUUAACACAUUUGCUCCAAUAAGCAAAACCCUAUUGACCCCUCUCACAGUAUUGAGGCCCUCUAUAACAUAUAGAGUUUUUUAUGCUAAAACUAGUAACAAGAGAUCCUCUCUCUUUAAUGCAAACAUAACCCAGCAAGAACCUAUCACUGGCAUCUACAGGAAUAAGCACUAGUAGCAACCCCACAAGAAAACCCUACUUUUCUUUCCGUUAACCUAACACCAGAGCAUUUCAAGAAAGAUUAAAAGAAGGGGAAGGAACUCAGCAAACACCAGCCCCGCCUGUUUACCAAAAACACCGCCUCUUGACCCCAUAAGAGGUCCAGCCUGCCCAGUGACUCUGUUCAACGGCCGCGGUAUCCUAACCGUGCUAAGGUAGCGUAAUCACUUGUCUUCUAAAUGAAGACUAGUAUGAAAGGCAUCACGAGGGCCAAGCUGUCUCCCCCCUCUAAUCAGUGAACCUAAUCUCCCCGUGAAGAAGCGGGGAUUUACAUAUAAGACGAGAAGMCCCUAUGGAGCUUAAAACGAUAUAAUACCUGCUCAGCCCCCCCCCAUUCAGAUUUUUACCUCAGCACGCUAAUUAUAGGUUUUUGGUUGGGGUGACCGCGGAGAAAAACUAAUCCUCCACAAUGAAAGGAGCCUUCCCCCCAACAAUAAGCUACAACUUUACAUUUCAAUAAAUUGACAUCCAUUGACCCAAUAUUUGAUCAACGAACCAAGUUACCCUAGGGAUAACAGCGCAAUCCACUUCAAGAGCCCCUAUCGACAAGUGGGCUUACGACCUCGAUGUUGGAUCGGGGGAUCCCUGUGGUGCAGCAGCUACUAAAGGUUCGUUUGUUCAACGAUUAAAACCCCACGUGAUCUGAGUUCAGACCGGAGUGAUCCAGGUCAGUUUCUAUCUAUCCUAGAGCUUUUUUCAGUACGAAAGGACCAAAACAGCAUGGCCAAUGCUCCCUCAAGCCAUAGUUAACCCAUUUUGACCUCGCCUCAAAAAUCAUCAACCUCCCCCCUCCCU